UCUUGUGUCUGGCCGCUAAGCAAGUCGCCUAAAAGGAAUGGGCGGCAGCGGUGGUGGUUUAACAGUGCCUCGCUCCUCAGGGCCAGGCGGGAGCCCGGACGCCGGGCUCUGCAGCCUGGUCCUGGCGUGAGAGCUCGGGGCAUAAACCUGCGUAGUUGGGAAACUUAAAAAUCAGGUGACUGUGGAGUGCAGUUGCCACUGGGAUUGGGCAAAGGCUGGGCAGGGAUUCUCAGGAUCUUGGUUUUAGCUGUAGGUCGCCAAAAGUUGGGCUGAGUCUCACUUGAAGCGUAAUGAGAUCUUCCUGGAUCUGGGCCUGUGAGUUUAAGGUAGGUUGCAAGGUGACAUCUCAGACUGAGACCUCUGCCCUGAUGAAGGAAAACUUCCUCCUGGUUCCAUCGUAAGUAAGCGUUGCAAUUUCCAGCAGAGUUUCCAUCAUCUCUUUUGUUUUGUUUUUCAGAAAAGCACGAAGCAUUUACUAAUGUCACCUUUAGGACUGAAGAACUUUGCAACCCGGACUUUAAACAGGAGCUGCUGCUCUGAGGCACAACUUCAUCCCUGGAAAAACAAGUACAGUGAUUAUGCCAUUCUUCAUAGUACUGUCUCUGCAAUCAAAUGCAUCAGAGGCUACUGAGAGAACUGGCUGAUGGCAGAAUGAAGCUGCCUUGGCUACUUUGCUGAAGUCAGUCGUUCCCACAUGGUGUGCGCUGCUGUAGAGGUCUAAACUGUGACGACUGAUUGCCAGUACAGUAACAAUUCUACUUACUGAAAAAUAUGAAGAUCUUUUCAGCAGCCAUUUGAAGAUGUCCAGAAAAUGAAGAGAGUGCUCCAGGAGUGAAAAAGGAGAGCAAGCCUAUGCAUGGACCCCUUUGAUUGAAAGUCCUCUGCAGCCAUUAAUGUAUUGGCUCUCUCCAUAGGUUCCAAGGAUAUCCUUCAAUUAUAUCUCUUCGGCCAAAAUUCAGUGGAGCACUAAAGAUGCUUCAGUGAUGACCUUGUUGCAUUGCCAUGAAGACUUUAUCAGAUUUGGUGAAAGAGACACUAAUAAAAGAGAAGAUGUAGCCUGACAAGACAACCUUGUACAAAUGCACACUACAAUAAGUGAACAAAGGAAUCAAGGAAACAGCAAUUAUUUAUCACAGCUCUUUGCUGAGAAGGAAAGCGAAGGGAAGGAAAGAAGAAAGAGAAAAAAAGAAGGAAAAAGGGAAAUGAAAGAAAGGAAGGGGGAAAGAAGAAAAAAGAAUAGAAAAUUUUCAUUGAAGAGAAAUUGGUUGGACAGUAUUUUAUGUUCUUAAGUAUGACUGUACUUUAUACAGAAAUUCUUUUAUUUGCUUACUGAAUUUUACUGAAGGCUGCAAAUGGUACUUAGUUUUUUGAUGCUUUGUGUGGAAGAUGCAUUAGUAUAAUUAUGGGAUACCUAAGAAAAGAGUAUUGAACCCUGUGCUAAAUAUCCAAGCAGUCUGUAUUUUGUCAAGGGUCAUUUCACUUUGAGAGUAACUUGCAUUGGAAUAAAUUUUAAAA